UUGACGGGGCCGCACAAGCGGUGGAGCAUGUGGUUUAAUUCGACGCAACGCGAAGAACCUUACCUGGGUUUGACAUCCCGAGAAUCCUGAUGAAAGUCGGGAGUGCCCUUCGGGGAACUCGGUGACCGGUGCUGCAUUGGCUGUCGUCAGCUCGUGUCGUGAGAUGUUGGGUUAAGUCCCGCAACGAGCGCAACCCCUAUCUUUAGUUACCAUCAUUCAGUUGGGACUCUAAAGAUACUGCCCCGGUCAACGGGGAGGAAGGUGGGGAUGACGUCAAGUCCUCAUGGCCCUUAUGCCCAGGGCUACACACGUGCUACAAUGGACUGUACAAAGGGUUGCAAUCCCGCGAGGAAGAGCUAAUCCCAAAAAGCAGUCCUAAGUUCGGAUUGGAGUCUGCAACUCGACUCCAUGAAGUUGGAAUCGCUAGUAAUCGUGGAUCAGCACGCCACGGUGAAUACGUUCCCGGGCCUU
rnacentral:rRNA from 1 species